AUGUUGUCUCGGUGCGCAGCGGCGCGGAGGAGGGACCGCCGCCACCAGCCCGGCUCCGCGGGGGCCGCCCGGCUCCUCCCCGCGGCCUCCGGUUCGGGCGCGGAGGCGCUGCCCCGGCCGGGAAGCGCGGUGAUCCCAGCCCGGAGCGCAUGGAGGGAAACACGGUGCGGAGGAGGGGCCGCGGUGCCCACCGGAGAUCCCGGCCAUAGGGGCGGGGAGUCUCCUCCUCCUCCUCCUCCUCCUCCCGCAGCGAGGCUCCGGCUCCCCGCACGCACCGGAGCGCUCGGCUCCCUCCUCCUCGUCCCUCCUCCCUUCCCCUCCUCCCCGCUUCCCUCCCCGGGUCGCCGCGGCUCCGGGAGGAGCGGGGGGGCCCCCGCUUCCUUCCCUCCCCCCCUCCUUCUCCCCCCCGCCACGCCGAGGAGAGGCAGUUGCCAUAUGGGAACUUCCUUCAAUCACUACAGUCCCUGGCUGCAUUUGCACCAAUUAUUAGAGCUGUAGGAUUCCAGAUUGUAUCAUGAAUUGCUGGAUUUUGAAGGAAAACCUGGACAACUUCCCACGUGUAUGCUGAGUUUAGCAGGGAAAAGGUAAUAUUGAAAAGAUACU
rnacentral:lncRNA from 1 species